GAUGAAGAACGUAGCGAAAUGCGAUAAGUAAUGUGAAUUGCAGAAUUCAGUGAAUCAUCGAAUCUUUGAACGCACAUUGCGCCCCUUGGUAUUCCGGGGGGCAUGCCUGUUGGAGCGUCAUUUCAACCCUCAAGCUCAGCUUGGUAUUGAGUCCAUGUCAGUAAUGGCAGGCUCUAAAAUCAGUGGCGGCGCCGCUGGGUCCUGAACGUAGUAAUAUCUCUCGUUACAGGUUCUCGGUGUGCUUCUGCCAAAACCCAAAUUUUCUAUGGUUGACCUCGGAUCAGGUAGGGAUACCCGCUGAACUUAAGCAUAUCAAUAAGCGGAGGA
rnacentral:misc_RNA from 1 species